rnacentral:tRNA from 1 species
UCAUGGCUCAGUUGGUUAGAGCGCCGCCCUGUCACGGCGGAGGUCGCGGGUUCGAGUCCCGCUGGG